GUUAGCAACGAUGAUUUUUGGGAAAUGCACCCCUUUAUGACCAUUGCUAAUGUUAUUUAGUUACUCUCAAUCUUUUCUAAUAGGACUGCAAACAACCCUGUGAUAGCCAUUGGUGUUAUUGAACGUCGACAUUUUGUAAUUUACCCCACGUUAUACUCACUGUGGCAGAUGUACUAUUGGUUAUUUAUUUGUUAGCCUUAUUGUGACAAAUGCUUGUCUCUUCAGCUAUUAUGGCCCCUGCACCUCAACCCCAAGUAAGAGACCGUGGAAGAAGCCCCACCUGACUGCACCGUCACUUUCCAGUAUUGGAUGUGCAUCAUCUGAAACACUUUCAAAUCGAGAGGACCUGCCACCUAUUGAGGAAAGACUGGAAGAUGAGCGCACCAUGGAUGCCUCUGAGGUUCUUGAGGAAACUCUACAGAACAUGAGCAUGCAGGAUGCUGAAUCCCAGCUCAUGAAUGAGCAGGAGAUAAAUGACCUAAAGAACAGUCU